CUGGUGCAUAACAUUCUAAAUGCAAUGUCAGAUUCUAAUUGAGAGAAUAGCUCCCAUUUGUCCAAAUUAUAUUUUCAUCAAUUGUGGCAAUGAAAGCAGAUCGGAUAUCAUGCACAGUUAUGCAGAUUGUUGAGAGCAAAAUGAUGAGGGAAGGCAGGAAAGAGUACCUGAGUCUUAUAGUCUGUAUGUACUCAUGACAAAAUGGUGUUCGAGAGGUGGCGAAUAAGGAUUUGCUUGCAAAAUUGAAGAACGAUAAUAUGUA